rnacentral:rRNA from 1 species
GGGAUAACAGUUGGAAACGGCUGCUAAUACCGCAUAAGCGCACAGCAUCGCAUGAUGCAGUGUGAAAAACUCCGGUGGUAUAAGAUGGACCCGCGUUGGAUUAGCUAGUUGGUGAGGUAACGGCCCACCAAGGCGAUGAUCCAUAGCCGACCUGAGAGGGUGACCGGCCACAUUGGGACUGAGACACGGCCCAAACUCCUACGGGAGGCAGCAGUGGGGAAUAUUGCACAAUGGGCGAAAGCCUGAUGCAGCGACGCCGCGUGAGCGAAGAAGUAUUUCGGUAUGUAAAGCUCUAUCAGCAGGGAAGAUAAUGACGGUACCUGACUAAGAAGCACCGGCUAAAUACGUGCCAGCAGCCGCGGUAAUACGUAUGGUGCAAGCGUUAUCCGGAUUUACUGGGUGUAAAGGGAGCGCAGGCGGUGCGGCAAGUCUGAUGUGAAAGCCCGGGGCUCAACCCCGGUACUGCAUUGGAAACUGUCGUACUAGAGUGUCGGAGGGGUAAGCGGAAUUCCUAGUGUAGCGGUGAAAUGCGUAGAUAUUAGGAGGAACACCAGUGGCGAAGGCGGCUUACUGGACGAUAACUGACGCUGAGGCUCGAAAGCGUGGGGAGCAAACAGGAUUAGAUACCCUGGUAGUCCACGCCGUAAACGCUGAAUAGUAGGUGUUGGGAAGCAUUGCUUCUCGGUGCCGUCG